AGGUGUAUAGCUUAGUUGGCAGAGCAUUGGGCUUUUAAUCUAAUGGUCACAAAUUCACGUCUUGCUAUACCAU